rnacentral:rRNA from 1 species
GACGAACGCUGGCGGCGUGCUUAACACAUGCAAGUCGUACGGUAAGGCCCUUUCGGGGGUACACGAGUGGCGAACGGGUGAGUAACACGUGAGUAACCUGCCCACAACUUUGGGAUAACGCUAGGAAACUGGUGCUAAUACUGGAUAUGUGCCCCUGCUGCAUGGUGGGGGUUGGAAAGCUCCGGCGGUUGUGGAUGGACUCGCGGCCUAUCAGCUUGUUGGUGGGGUAGUGGCCUACCAAGGCGGCGACGGGUAGCCGGCCUGAGAGGGUGACCGGCCACAUUGGGACUGAGAUACGGCCCAGACUCCUACGGGAGGCAGCAGUGGGGAAUAUUGCACAAUGGGCGCAAGCCUGAUGCAGCAACGCCGCGUGCGGGAUGACGGCCUUCGGGUUGUAAACCGCUUUCAGCAGGGACGAAGCUUUUUGUGACGGUACCUGCAGAAGAAGCACCGGCUAACUACGUGC